rnacentral:rRNA from 1 species
GGAUGCGAUCAUACCAGCACUAAAGCAUCGGAUCCCAUCAGAACUCUGAAGUUAAGCGUGCUUGGGCGAGAGUAGUACUAGGAUGGGUGACCUCCUGGGAAGUCCUCAUGUUGCAUUCC